GAUGAACGCUGGCGGCGUGCCUAAUACAUGCAAGUCGAGCGAACAGACGAGGAGCUUACUCCUCUGACGUUAGCGGCGGACGGGUGAGUAACACGUGGAUAACCUACCUAUAAGACUGGGAUAACUUCGGGAAACCGGAGCUAAUACCGGAUAACAUGUUGAACCGCAUGGUUCAACAGUGAAAGACGGUCUUGCUGUCACUUAUAGAUGGAUCCGCGUCGCAUUAGCUAGUUGGUAAGGUAACGGCUUACCAAGGCAACGAUGCGUAGCCGACCUGAGAGGGUGAUCGGCCACACUGGAACUGAGACACGGUCCAGACUCCUACGGGAGGCAGCAGUAGGGAAUCUUCCGCAAUGGGCGAAAGCCUGACGGAGCAACGCCGCGUGAGUGAAGAAGGUCUUCGGAUCGUAAAACUCUGUUAUUAGGGAAGAACAAAUGUGUAAGUAACUAUGCACGUCUUGACGGUACCUAAGCAGAAAGCCACGGCUAACUACGU
rnacentral:rRNA from 1 species